rnacentral:lncRNA from 10 species
GUUAUAUGUUACCUAGCCUUAAUUUUUACUUUAGAAAAUUGUGCUGAGCACCGUGACCAGCUGGGACUACUGUUUUUCUUAACAACCACAGACAAGUUGAUUUAGCCACUCGAACAAAACUAAACAAGGAAAGCUCACACUCAAUUCCUGGCUCUCUACCACUUACAAGCUUUGUGACUGUGAGCAAGUCACUUCUCUGAUCCUGUUUUAAUUACAAAUGGAGACAAAAUUUGCUUUGCCUACACUUUGCAUGUACUAGGGAAAAAAAAUGUAAAGGUAUUUUGUAGAAGACAUUUGGAAUAAUUUUGGCAGAAAACAUCCUAAUCUCAAUGAAGGCCCUAUCUAGUAACUUUCUGACCCCAAUGACAUCUUGUUCAGAGCAAAAAUUAUCAAUAAUUUUUGACAACUGUUUAGUAAUUAUUCAAUAAAAAGAGCUUUAGCUACUUGCAGCUGUUUAGGCUCUCCCCAUCUUGUGAAGUGGCUGACAUUUAGUGUGUUCUACUUAUGAAACUAUUUCCAGCUCAUGAGGCCAUGCCCUUCACACAUCUCAUUGGUCCCAUUGGUCCCAUGGUACAUACUUGAGCAUCGCCAUGGUUCAGAUAAAAUUCAAACCAAAAACAUAAUCUGAGGGAUAAAUUCAUGACCUGAGAAGUCUAAACAAUUAUCUUUUGAAGCAAUGGAGACUAGUUACUUCUGAAUAUUUAUAAACUAAUUGAAAAAAUCCAACAUACAAUUAUGUUAUUAGAUAUGACAUAAAUAUGUAUCAUUGCAGUUCAUACCCAAAUACAGCUCUCUUUCUUGGAUCACAUGCACUUUUGCACUUUGGGAAAAUAAUCUGAUGAAGUGCCUUGCACCAGUGACUUAAUUUAAAUCUAAGCUAUAAAAUAAGACCUGUCAUUAAUAAGACAACACUCCUGCUUCCAAAUGAUUCACAUUUACAACUGAUAAAACCGUUAGCUAUUCAAAGCUCAUUGCCCCAAUUUUCUCUCUCUGCAAUUAUGCUAUCAUAUUGUUAAAGGAAAGGGCAAUAAUCCUCGUUGAAGGCCUACUUUGUUCCAUGCAUUGUAAGGUACUUUGCACACUGUAUUUCAUUUAGGUCUCAUACAACUGUUUAAGGUGGAAGAUGUGCUUUUUGUAUAUAAAAAAGCACAUCUCAAACUUCAUCUCAAACUCAUUUGCCCUUUACUUCAAUCCACCCAGCUAUAUUUUAGUGUAAUUCCCAAAUGUUCUAAGAAACGCUGGAAAAUAACAAAACACUGUGGAAAAUUUUUCUUUAAAUAACAGAUAUAUAAACAGGUAUUUUGAUCUCACCUUAAUAAGAGCUCUCAUAUUUUAGUUAUGACCACACAAAUUAAACCUUCUUGCAUAUACACAAUGGUACAUCUAUGACAAUUAGAGAUAAAUGCCUAACCCCACUUCCUUUUGCAGCAGAGGGGUGAUACAGAUCUGUCAACAGCUAUGAAUGUUAAAAUAAUUUUAAAAAUCCUACUAAAAGGGCAAGAAUUCAAGUGCUGAGAAUCCAAACAGACUUCAUGGAUCCCACAGACAGUCCAAUGACCCCAGGGAUGUUUCUAAAAUUGUUGAACUCCUAUGUUUACUGUUCUCUUUCCUUCAUUAUCAUUUACAAAAAGUUAUAACAAAUGUCCUAGACUAAGCCAGAAAAGCUUUAUCUGAUGAAAGGGAUCAUUCGGAAAGCCAAUGUAUGAUAAAGGAUUGAAAAACAAAAAAGACAGCUGGAAAUAACCACCAUAAUGUUUCAACAACAUUUAUACAUCUUUUUAAUUAGAUUAGCUUUACAAGCAACUUGAGAGCUCUUUCAUAA